GGUUGUUCAAGGUUGAGUGUUACCCUAGCGACCAGCUGUUCUCCCCUCAGAAAUGGUGACUUCCCCCCAUUGUGGUACUUCCGCUCUCUCCCUGCUGCUCUCCUGCUGCUUCAAACUCUCUUCUCUCUGCUGUCUCGUGACUCCUGCUUUCUGCAGCCUCUCUAUUUCCUGUUACCAUCUACUCCCUGUUGAUCCUCUCGAUGUGUGUUAUAUUCAGAAAUCCUUAACAAUAAAGACCGAGUUUGAGGAUGGGCCUGGGGAUGGGGUCCCAGUGCCUUCUCAGGCUGGUCUCUAGGUGGCUACUUUGGGGUAAGGCCUGACACCUGGUCCGGUAAGCCGAGGCCAAGGUGGCAGGGCGAGAUGACGCAGAGCAGAUGCCGGAGCUGCCCGUGGGCGGGGCAGGCCCUCAGAGCAGCACACCCCAUACCUUGCAAAAGCAAAGCAGAGCCCUGUUCCAGGGGGAUUUGAGAAGAACUCGGACACUAGGCAGAUUUUCAGAAAUUCCAGGAUUUCCAGACGAGGGGAAUGAGAGAAGAUUUCAUUUUCUCGAACUGAAAUAUUGGGCAGGGGUGUGGUGUCUGGAAAAACCCCCGAGACCACAGGUGGGUGAAAUAGUGGACAGAGUUGGAUGAGGUCAAGGAAGAUGAUGAUAAGUACCAGAGGGUUGGGUUAACGGUCCAUAAACCCCUCCUGCCUGGGGUCGGUCCUGAUUCUGGACACUAAAGCCGGACUGGGCUCACGAGCUUCGGCAGUGGGAAUAGGAGGGCUUGGGUCAGUGAUGGACUUACCAAGGCCACAGUGGACAAGCGCAGAUGGGCCCACAUGCAGGAAACCACGAAAACGCCGUGUCUACGUGGAAAAGGGGAGACUUUACAUAACACACACUGUUGGGACCUGUUCUCAAAUGAAGAGAAUUCUGUUCUCAUUGGUAAACUCCUAAGUGCUAGCAAAAGCACCUAAUCUGUGAACAUUUUUUUUCCUUUUUUUUGGCCAAACCACGAGGCUUGCAGGAUCUUAGUUCCCUGACCAGGGUUCGCACCUGGACCCCCAGCAGUGAAAGCACUGAGUUCUAACCACUGGAUCGCCAGGGAAUUCCCAACAUAUUUUUUAAAUUUCAUUUAUUUUUUAUUUUUAAAAAAUUUUAUUGAAAUGUAGUUGAUUUACAGUGUUGUGUUAAUUUCUUCUGUACAGCAAAGUGAUUCAGUUAUACAUAUAUAUAUAUGUAUACAUUCUUUCCUAUUAUGGUUUAUCACAGGAUAUUGAAUAUAGUUCCCCGUGCUACACACUAGGACCUUGUUGUCUAUCCAUUCUAUGUAUAAUAGUUUACACCUGCUCAUCCCAAACUCCCACUCCAUCCCUCCCCCAACACCCUCCCCCAUUGGCAACCACAAGUCUGUUCUCUAUGUCUGUGAGUCUCUUUUUGGUUCGUAGAUAUGUUGAUUUGUAUCAUAUUUUAGAUUCUACAUAUAAGCGAUAUCAUAUGGUAUUUGUCUUCUCCUUUUGACUUAGCUUAGCAUGACCAUCUCUAGGUCCAUCCAUGUUGCUGCAAAUGGCAUUAUUUCAUUCUUUUUGAUGGCUGAGUAAUAUUGUGAACAUAUUUCUAAGCAGAUUCCUACCCAAGGGGUUAAACUAGGUGUCAUGGUCAGAGGCACAGGAUAGUGGUCUUAGGAGGGGGCGGCAGUGGGUGGUGAGUCCCCUGAGAACGUUCCACAGAGGCUAAAGGGUCACUGAACCUCUCCUGCUCAGGGGCUGCAAGCAUUGGCUUGGGGUGGAGGUAGGGGUUGGACCCAUGGGCUUUGGGGACCCUCCUCACUCUGAUGCCAUUUGGCUUCGAGGCCCUGGGUUCUGUCUUUGCCAGGUCUGCCGUGCAAAGGACCACCCCAUCUCCUCCUUCCAGGAGCAGGAGGGCCCCUCAAAGCCAGUCCUGUUGACUUCCCUGCUGCCCCACAGAUUGUGUCUUCCAGAUCCGUGGUACCAGUGGACCCUCAUACUUUUCGAGGGAGAUGAGGAAAUGGAGCCCCAGAGAGGUUAAGUUCUUAACUGAGGUCACCCCAGUGUUAAGUGACACGGCCAAUACUUAAAUCCACGUCUCGCUAACAUUAAUGAUUGUGCUUGUUGCCAUUAUGCUAAAUUGCCUCUCCUUAGGGCCUGAGCUGAGUUCUGGAUUUAAAAGGAGGCAAGAAUGAUGUUUAGGAUCUGCCCUAGUGACUUGGGCUAACUUUGCCACUCUGCUUUGCUCGUGAGCCACGCGAGACUGCAAAGGAAAUAUGAGUUAUGGCUACAAGAGAGUCAGCGGACAAGCUCCCAAGGCCUUCUUGCCCCGAGAUCUGUGGUCAUUUCUGCCCUUAGCGAGUAAGCAGACUUCCACUGCCUGGGCUGCAUCUGCACGCCUGGGGCUACCCACCUCCUGUGAAGCAAGUCGUCUGUUCCCGGUGUGGUUUCCGCUGCCUCAGCCAGACCCAGGUCCCCUGCGCCCAGAAGAUGCUCAAGAAAUGCCACCUACGGGUGAAAACCUGCGUGAUGAAGGCUAAGCCCCGUAUUUUAUGUACAUUGUAUGUCGCUUUGAAGGGAAGAUUUGAAGGGAAGCAAAAAAGAAUUGCAGACCCUGACCAGAAGGGACUUUUGCAAAAGCAUUUUGCUUAGAGGCCUGAAGGGGGCUGAUAUUAAUAAUAUUGGCUACUUAUUAGGUAUUCUUCCCGAUGCCUUCAGCAUCUGUCCUUAUUAAAUCCUCCCAAAGCUGUGAUUAUAAUGACCCUCUUUGAAUACAGAGUGUGUUUUAAUUACUGGUCAUGGUAUCAACUGUGAUCUGUCCUUCCACCUGCAGCAGGACUCUCUCUCCCUCUCCAGGCCCCUCCUGUUGAGAACUCUGCCCUCUGAAAUUACAAUUCUUUCCCCCACUGGCAGUCUGAGGGUACAAGGUUCAGAAACUUGCGUUGCCCAAGAUCACAUAAUGAAUUUCACGGCAGAGUCAGCAUUGAAAUGCACGCCUGUCUAGAUUUCCCCACCAGCACUCACUGCCGUAUACUGUUUAAUGAACUGAAACUUAAAGAGAACUGGAUUUAUUUUUAACUUACUGUUGCCUAGUGCGUCACUCUUGAGGAGUCUUUAUGUCCCCUGUCUCCCACCCAAAGGAAGGCUGUCUUCACCAGGCCAGUCCCUCAGACUGAAGUGGGAGCUUCAAAGGAGCCAUAGUUCGGGGUCUUUGGGAGGAGCUUGGGAUCAAGGUUAUAUCUGACACAGAGUCAGCUCGCUACCCUGAAAACAUGUGAAUCGAUAGUUUGCAAACAUAUUUCUGGCCACAAGCAAACAGGGGGAGAGUUGGGAAAUUAAACUGGCACAGAAGCAAGUCAGAUUUUGGGAACAUGUAAUUUUUAGGAGUCUGAACUUUGGGGUGGAAAUAUUUAAAGAAUUGAGUGGACUUACUUUCAAUUUCAGUGAGACGUUUGGCAGUACGUGAGCCAAACCCGAAUUGGAUUAUUAAUCCUGUAUUCUCAAUGUGUGGCUUUGUUCGCACGCGUCCUUAGCGUGGAAUAGAUAUACAAAGAGUGCUUGUUGAAUUGAUGAAAAAUGUAGCCUUGCCUGCUUAAUUUUCUAUUCUGCUAAAAUAUAUAUAACAUAAAAUUGAUCAUUUUAACCAUUUUUAAGUAUACAGUUCAGUGGUACUAAGUACAUUCACUUUGUUGUGCAAUCAUCCGUCUCUAAAACUUUUCGUCUUCCCAAACUGAACCUCUGUCCCCAUUAAACACUACCUCCCCAUUCCUCUGUCCUCCCAGCCCCUGGCAGCCACCCUUCUACUUUCUGUCUCUAUGGAUUUGAUGACCUCUAGGGACCUCAUAUCGGUGGGAUAGUGUAGUAUUUGUCCUUUUGUGAUGGCUUAUUUCACUGAGCAUAAUGUCCUUAAGGUUCAUCCAUGGUGUAGUGUGUGUCAGAACUUCCUUCCUUUUUUCAGGCUGAAUCAUAUUCCACUGUAUGAAUACAUCCCAUUUGGUCUAUUGAUUCAUCAGUGGAUGGACACUCAGGUUGUUUCCGCUUUCUGCGAAUAGUUUGGCUAUCAUCACUUCCAGCUUAUGGCUCAGGCCCCUGCCAGUUCUUUGUUUUUCUUUUUUUGUUUGUUUGUUUUGUUUUUUGGAUGCACCACGCGGCCUCUGGGAUUCUCGUUCCCCAACCCAGGCCCUCGGCAGUGAGAACGAGGAGCCCUAACCACUGGACCACCAGGGAACUCCUAGGCUCCUGUUGUUUCUGUUCGAGCCCCUGCUUUCAGUUUUGUCUGCUUGCUUUCCCAUGCUGCGUCAUCUUUAGCACCGAGGGUUCGAAUGCUUUCCAGUCUCCCAGCAGAGCACUUUGGGGUCCCCUUUUCAAUAUUGUAUUGUGAAGCCAAACAAAAAAUGAUUGGAAAGAUGUUUCUGACAAUAAACUUGUGGCAAAGCUACCUUACUUCCUACUUCGAAUCUUGCUAUGAAAUCGCCCACUUUUAAUUCAAUUUCAGCCCACGUCACGCCGUUGAGUUUCUGUUUGCUCGCCACUGCGUGAUUUGGAGGGGAAGGAUCCGCUUGGGCACGAUGCUGGGCUCCUGGAGCUCCCGUGCCUUUUUGUGACAUCCUGCACAUGUUCGCUUGAGACUGGCAGCUGCCCUGCCACAUCGCUCUGUCACUUCCUUCCCUGGAUUUCAAA